UCUCUCUGGCAAUGAGCAAAGAGACAUCUUUGGUGAUGGUGUUCUUUUAUCAGUCAGGGGCAGAGCUGAUGGCACUCCUUUCUUCAUCCUAGCUUGAUUUCUGGCUUGGUGGCCACAGCUGUUUUAUUUCCCAAGACACAA